rnacentral:rRNA from 1 species
UACGUAGGGACCAAGCGUUGUUCGGAUUUACUGGGCGUAAAGGGCGCGUAGGCGGCCCUCUAAGUCCCGUGUGAAAGCCCCCGGCUCAACCGGGGAACUGCACGGGAAACUGGAAGGCUUGAGUUCGGGAGAGGGAAGCGGAAUUCCGGGUGUAGCGGUGAAAUGCGUAGAUAUCCGGAGGAACACCGGUGGCGAAGGCGGCUUCCUGGACCGACACUGACGCUGAUGCGCGAAAGCUAGGGGAGCAAACGGG